rnacentral:tRNA from 1 species
GGGGGAUUAGCUCAGUUGGGAGAGCGUCAGGCUGGCAGUCUGAAGGUCACGGGUUCGAGCCCCGUAUCCUCCACCA